rnacentral:lncRNA from 1 species
UUAAAAGCUUCAUUAAUUGCUUUUAAAUCCAAACAACCUUUCACAUCCAAACUUAAAGCCUAGAAGUUAUUGGCAUGCCCGGUAUGGAGUUAUGUGAUGCCUAAAGCAUACCACAAAAUUUAAAAAAAAAAAAAAAAAAAAAAAAGUUGUCUCUUUUUUUAUAGCUAAUUUUCUCUCAAAAGUUAGGUUUUAUUAUCAUUAAAAGUUUUACAUUAAUAGUAUCAAUGUAUCGAUCAUACUUCCUUAUAUUAAAC